rnacentral:rRNA from 1 species
GACGAACGCUGGCGGCGUGCUUAACACAUGCAAGUCGAACGGUGAAGCGCCUUCCUUUUUGGUGGGUGUGGAUGAGUGGCGAACGAGUGAGUAACACGUGAGUAACCUGCCCCCUUCUUCUGGAUAACCGCAUGAAAGUGUGGCUAAUACGGGAUAUUCUGGGUCUGUCGCAUGAUGGGUCUGGGAAAGAUAUUGUUUCGGUGGGGGAUGGGCUCGCGGCCUAUCAGCUUGUUGGUGGGGUGAUGGCCUACCAAGGCGGUGACGGGUAGCCGGCCUGAGAGGGUGGACGGUCACACUGGGACUGAGACACGGCCCAGACUCCUACGGGAGGCAGCAGUGGGGAAUAUUGCACAAUGGGCGCAAGCCUGAUGCAGCGACGCCGCGUGAGGGAUGGAGGCCUUCGGGUUGUGAACCUCUUUCGCCAGUGAAGCAGGCCUGCCUCGUUUGUGGGCGGGUUGACGGUAGCUGGAUAAGAAGCGCCGGCUAACUACGUG